GAAAAAGGAAGAACCGUUUGGUCCUCUGGUUGUCCGCUGUGUUGCUCGGCACAAGUCCACGUACUUCAGCACUGGACUGCCCUUCUUCGGAACGUCUGUCAACUCGGCAAAGGUGCCCCCCGAGUCGGGACAAGUCCGCAUGGAUGCCCAUAUCCGUCAGCCUUCACUUCAAAGAGAAGAAGGCACUUUCAAGAUAAUCGCCGUAAGCGCUGUGAUCAUCACGGUCGGCCUCACUGCCUUAGCUAUAAUAGUCUACAGUGUCUUGGGAUCCCAUUCACCGGUUCCUGUACAAGCUGGGCUUUCAGCAAAAGGUACGCAAAAAUGAAAA